AUGCAGGUCCCAUGUCACUGCCAGCAUGCACCAUGGCACUUGGGGGCUAAUACAAAGUCAUUUUUUAUUGGCCUUAUUAUUGAAGACCCGACUCAUCACAUCAUAAUGAGCCGGCCCUUGGGGGCUACCAAUUCUCCUGUCAAAAAUUAUAUUGAAGGUACACAAGUUUUAUUACAUUAUAUUGAAGGGUCCAAUGCUCAGUUGGUAAAACACAAAGCUCUUAACCUUGUGGAAGUGGGUUCAAGCCCCAUGAUGGGGGUUACAUCAUAUGAUGUUCUUUUCAAAAGAAGUAUAUAUAAAGUCUCGGCUCAAUAUUAUCUUACUGAGCCGGCCCUUGGGGGCUACACGUUGUUGUUCAAGUCUAUAUGA
rnacentral:rRNA from 1 species